UAGGGGUGAUAACGAGGCUGCUUGCAGCCGAAGUGAGUGAUACCCUGCUUCCAGGAAAAGCCACUAAGCUUCAGCUAUACACGACCGUACCGCAAACCGACACUGGUGCGCGAGAUGAGUAUUCUAAGGCGCUUGAGAGAACUCAGGAGAAGGAACUCGGCAAAUUGACACCGUAACUUCGGAAGAAGGUGUGCCUUUAGUAGGUGAAGGGAUUUACUCCUGGAGCCCAAUGAGGUUGCAAAAAAUCGGUGGCUGCGACUGUUUAUUAAAAACACAGCACUCUGCAAACACGAAAGUGGACGUAUAGGGUGUGACGCCUGCCCGGUGCUGGAAGAUUAAAUGAUGGGGUGCAAGCUCUUGAUUGAAGUCCCAGUAAACGGCGGCCGUAACAAUAACGGUCCUAAGGUAGCGAAAUUCCUUGUCGGGUAAGUUCCGACCUGCACGAAUGGCGUAACGAUGGCCACACUGUCUCCUCCUGAGACUCAGCGAAGUUGAAAUGUUUGUGAUGAUGCAAUCUCCCCGCGGAAAGACGGAAAGACCCCAUGAACCUUUACUGUAGCUUUGUAUUGGACUUUGAACAGAUCUGUGUAGGAUAGGUGGGAGGCUUUGAAGCAGGGUCGCUAGAUCUUGUGGAGCCAACGUUGAAAUACCACCCUGGUGUGUUUGAGGUUCUAACCUAGGUCCAUUAUCUGGAUCGGGGACAGUGCAUGGUAGGCAGUUUGACUGGGGCGGUCUCCUCCCAAAGCGUAACGGAGGAGUUCGAAGGUACGCUAGUUACGGUCGGACAUCGUGACGAUACUGCAAUGGCAUAAGCGUGCUUAACUGCGAGACUGACAAGUCGAGCAGAUGCGAAAGCAGGACAUAGUGAUCCGGUGGUUCUGUAUGGAAGGGCCAUCGCUCAACGGAUAAAAGGUACUCUGGGAUAACAGGCUGAUACCGCCCAAGAGUUCAUAUCGACGGCGGUGUUUGGCACCUCGAUGUCGGCUCAUCUCAUCCUGGGGCUGUAGCCGGUCCCAAGGGUAUGGCUGUUCGCCAUUUAAAGAGGUACGUGAGCUGGGUUUAAAACGUCGUGAGACAGUUUGGUCCCUAUCUUCCGUGGGCGCUGCAGAUUUGAGGAAGCCUGCUCCUAGUACGAGAGGACCGGAGUGGACACACCUCUGGUGUAUCGGUUGUCACGCCAGUGGCAUUGCCGAGUAGCUAAGUGUGGAAGAGAUAACCGCUGAAAGCAUCUAAGCGGGAAACUCGUUUCAAGAUGAGAUCUGCCGGGGCCUUGAGCCCCCUAAAGAGUCGUUCAAGACCAGGACGUUGAUAGGCAGGGUGUGGAAGCGCAGUAAUGCGUUAAGCUAACCUGUACUAAUUGCUCGUGCGGCUUGAUC
rnacentral:rRNA from 1 species